rnacentral:rRNA from 1 species
AGUCGAGCGGAACGAGUUAACUGAACCUUCGGGGGACGUUAACGGCGUCGAGCGGCGGACGGGUGAGUAAUGCCUAGGAAAUUGCCCUGAUGUGGGGGAUAACCAUUGGAAACGAUGGCUAAUACCGCAUGAUGCCUACGGGCCAAAGAGGGGGACCUUCGGGCCUCUCGCGUCAGGAUAUGCCUAGGUGGGAUUAGCUAGUUGGUGAGGUAAGGGCUCACCAAGGCGACGAUCCCUAGCUGGUCUGAGAGGAUGAUCAGCCACACUGGAACUGAGACACGGUCCAGACUCCUACGGGAGGCAGCAGUGGGGAAUAUUGCACAAUGGGCGCAAGCCUGAUGCAGCCAUGCCGCGUGUGUGAAGAAGGCCUUCGGGUUGUAAAGCACUUUCAGUCGUGAGGAAGGUAGUGUAGUUAAUAGCUGCAUUAUUUGACGUUAGCGACAGAAGAAGCACCGGCUAACUCCGUGCCAGCAGCCGCGGUAAUACGGAGGGUGCGAGCGUUAAUCGGAAUUACUGGGCGUAAAGCGCAUGCAGGUGGUUUGUUAAGUCAGAUGUGAAAGCCCGGGGCUCAACCUCGGAAUAGCAUUUGAAACUGGCAGACUAGAGUACUGUAGAGGGGGGUAGAAUUUCAGGUGUAGCGGUGAAAUGCGUAGAGAUCUGAAGGAAUACCGGUGGCGAAGGCGGCCCCCUGGACAGAUACUGACACUCAGAUGCGAAAGCGUGGGGAGCAAACAGGAUUAGAUACCCUGGUAGUCCACGCCGUAAACGAUGUCUACUUGGAGGUUGUGGCCUUGAGCCGUGGCUUUCGGAGCUAACGCGUUAAGUAGACCGCCUGGGGAGUACGGUCGCAAGAUUAAAACUCAAAUGAAUUGACGGGGGCCCGCACAAGCGGUGGAGCAUGUGGUUUAAUUCGAUGCAACGCGAAGAACCUUACCUACUCUUGACAUCCAGAGAACUUUUCAGAGAUGGAUUGGUGCCUUCGGGAACUCUGAGACAGGUGCUGCAUGGCUGUCGUCAGCUCGUGUUGUGAAAUGUUGGGUUAAGUCCCGCAACGAGCGCAACCCUUAUCCUUGUUUGCCAGCGAGUAAUGUCGGGAACUCCAGGGAGACUGCCGGUGAUAAACCGGAGGAAGGUGGGGACGACGUCAAGUCAUCAUGGCCCUUACGAGUAGGGCUACACACGUGCUACAAUGGCGCAUACAGAGGGCGGCCAACUUGCGAAAGUGAGCGAAUCCCAAAAAGUGCGUCGUAGUCCGGAUUGGAGUCUGCAACUCGACUCCAUGAAGUCGGAAUCGCUAGUAAUCGUGGAUCAGAAUGCCACGGUGAAUACGUUCCCGGGCCUUGUACACACCGCCCGUCACACCAUGGGAGUGGGCUGCAAAAGAAGUAGGUAGUUUAACCUUCGGGGGGACGCUUACCAC